GCCUGGGUGGCUUAGUCGGUUAAGUGUCUGACUUCAGCUCAGGUCAUGAUCUCGCAGCCCGUGAGUUCGAGCCCUGCAUCAGGCU
rnacentral:tRNA from 1 species